GACAGGAGGGUGCAACGUUGUUCGGAAUUACUGGGCGUAAAGCGCGUGUAGGCUGCCCUGCAAGUCGGAUGUGAAAGCCCUGGGCUCAACCUAGGAAGUGCAUUCGAAACUGCAGGGCUGGAGUCCUGGAGAGGAAGGCGGAAUUCUCGGAUGUAGAGGUGAAAUUCGUAGAUAUCGAGAGGAACACCGGUGGCGAAGGCGGCCUUCUGGACAGUGACGUGACGCUG
rnacentral:rRNA from 1 species